ensembl:piRNA 21ur-4313 ncRNA
UACUGGCAAAUAAUACUGGUG